GACGAACGCUGGCGGCGUGCUUAACACAUGCAAGUCGAACGGAAAGGCACUGCUUUUGUGGGGUGCUCGAGUGGCGAACGGGUGAGUAACACGUGAGUAACCUGCCCUUGACUUUGGGAUAACUUCAGGAAACUGGGGCUAAUACCGGAUAGGAGCUCCUGCUGCAUGGUGGGGGUUGGAAAGUUUCGGCGGUUGGGGAUGGACUCACGGCUUAUCAGCUUGUUGGUGGGGUAGUGGCUUACCAAGGCUUUGACGGGUAGCCGGCCUGAGAGGGUGACCGGCCACAUUGGGACUGAGAUACGGCCCAGACUCCUACGGGAGGCAGCAGUGGGGAAUAUUGCACAAUGGGCGGAAGCCUGAUGCAGCAACGCCGCGUGCGGGAUGACGGCCUUCGGGUUGUAAACCGCUUUCGCCUGUGACGAAGCGUGAGUGACGGUAAUGGGUAAAGAAGCACCGGCUAACUACGUG
rnacentral:rRNA from 1 species